GGGGCAAUGGCGCAUCUGGGAGCGCGUCAGACUGAAGUAAACUUCGGCCAUAGGCUUCAUCCCUCGGGAUGUCCCCUGUAAAUCUGAAGGUGGCCGGUUCAAGCCCGGCUUGCCCCA